rnacentral:rRNA from 1 species
AGCAGCCGCGGUAAUUCCAGCUCCAAUAGCGUAUAUUAAAGUUGCUGCAGUUAAAAAGCUCGUAGUUGAAUUUCGGGAUCAAUAUGUUGGUCGUGCCUCGGUACGUACUAGCUUAUUGGUUUCUCCCUUCUGACGAACCAUGAUGUCAUUUAUUUGGUGUUAUGGGAAAUCAGGACUGUUACUUUGAAAAAAUUAGAGUGUUUAAAGCAGGCUCACGCUUGAAUACAUUAGCAUGGAAUAAUGAAAUAGGACGUUUGAUUCUAUUUUGUUGGUUUCUAGGAUCGACGUAAUGAUUAAUAGGGAUAGUUGGGGGCAUUAGUAUUCAAUUGUCAGAGGUGAAAUUCUUGGAUUUAUUGAAGACUAACUACUGCGAAAGCAUUUGCCAAGGAUGUUUUCAUUAAUCAAGAACGAAAGUUAGGGGAUCGAAGACGAUCAGAUACCGUCGUAGUCUUAACCGUAAACUAUGCCGACUAGGGAUCGGAUGAUGUUAAUUUUUAAUGACUCAUUCGGCGCCUUACGG